rnacentral:rRNA from 1 species
UACGGGGGGUGCAAGCGUUGUUCGGAAUUACUGGGCGUAAAGGGUUUGUAGGUGGCUUGCUAAGUCAGACGUGAAAUCCCUCAGCUUAACUGGGGAACUGCGUCUGAGACUGGCGAGCUUGAGUGCAGGAGAGGAACGCGGAAUUCCAGGUGUAGCGGUGAAAUGCGUAGAUAUCUGGAGGAACACCGGUGGCGAAGGCGGCGUUCUGGACUGCAACUGACACUGAGAAACGAAAGCCAGGGGAGCAAACGGG